UCCCGUUUUGAUAACUAGGGCGCACANUUUANUGUUUCCAAAANGGUAAAAUCAAACCUUAAUAAAAGGGCCCUGCGCCACAAACUAUCUCUUUUUUUUUAAUCGUCGAUCACGUGCGGCUGCCUUAUGCAGUAGCGAUGAACAGCUGUUCCUAUGUGCGCGACGGUGAGUAACGUGCUACCUGCUAUAGACUGGAUACUCCGGAAACCCGAGCUAAUACCUAAUAGUUCCUUGAACCCGCAUGGUUCAAGGAUGAAAGACGGUUUCGGGCUGUCACUUACAGAUGAACCCGCGGCGCAUUAGCUAGUUGGUGAGGUAACGGCUCACCAAGGCGACGAUGCGUAGCCGACCUGAGAGGGUGAUCGGCCACACUGGGACUGAGACACGGCCCAGACUCCUACGGGAGGCAGCAGUAGGGAAUCUUCCGCAAUGGACGAAAGUCUGACGGAGCAACGCCGCGUGAGUGAUGAAGGUUUUCGGAUCGUAAAGCUCUGUUGUUAGGGAAGAACAAGUGCAAGAGUAACUGCUUGCACCUUGACGGUACCUAACCAGAAAGCCACGGCUAACUACGUGCCAGCAGCCGCGGUAAUACGUAGGUGGCAAGCGUUGUCCGGAAUUAUUGGGCGUAAAGGGCUCGCAGGCGGUUUCUUAAGUCUGAUGUGAAAGCCCCCGGCUCAACCGGGGAGGGUCAUUGGAAACUGGGAAACUUGAGUGCAGAAGAGGAGAGUGGAAUUCCACGUGUAGCGGUGAAAUGCGUAGAGAUGUGGAGGAACACCAGUGGCGAAGGCGACUCUCUGGUCUGUAACUGACGCUGAGGAGCGAAAGCGUGGGGAGCGAACAGGAUUAGAUACCCUGGUAGUCCACGCCGUAAACGAUGAGUGCUAAGUGUUAGGGGGUUUCCGCCCCUUAGUGCUGCAGCUAACGCAUUAAGCAC
rnacentral:rRNA from 1 species